rnacentral:lncRNA from 10 species
UGGAUUCUCUUCCUUCAGUAAUUGUGAAAAUGAAUUCUCCUACCUUGGUUAUUGUGAAGAGGAUAAAGGCUGCUACCUCAGUAACAAUGAAAGAAGAUAGAUUCUCUUACCUCAGUAACUGUAGAGAAAAACGUAAUCUCCAAGCUCAUUAACUGUAGAAAAGGAAAGAUUCUCCUCACUCAGUAACUGUGCAGAAAAAUAUUAUCUUCCCUUAACUGUUGGGAAAAAAAGAGGAUUCUCCUACCACAGCAAGGGAGCAGAAGAGAUUUUCCUACCUCAGUAAUUGCAGGGAAGAAUUAUCCUACCACAACAUCUACAAUGAAGAGUAAAUUCUCCUACUCGAGUAACUGUGGAGAAGAAUGGAUUUUUUUAACUUCAGAAACUGAAGAAUGAAUUCCCCUAAUCAGUAAAUGCAUGAAAGAGGAGAUUCUCCUACCUCAAUAACUGUGGUAGAGAAUUUAUUUUCCUAUGUCAGUAACUAUGGAGAAGAAUGGCUUCUUUUACCUUCUUGGUAGAUGUAGAGAAGCAUAAAUUCUCCUAGCUGAGUAACUGUGGAGACUGAGGAGGAAGAGACAUUCCUCUACAUUGGUACCCAUAGACAAUAAUGGAUUUUACCAACUCAUAACUGUGCAAAUGGACAGAUUCUUCUAUUUCAGCUACUGUGGAAAAAAAAUACAUUCUUCUUUAGUACAUGUGGAGAGGAAUGGGUUCUCCUAUCUCAGCAACUAUGAAGAAAAGAUUCUUCUACCCAAGUAAUUGUCAAAAAUAAUGGAUUCUUCUUCCUCAGUAACUUUGGAGAAAGAUCUAUUCUCUAACCUAGUAACUGUGGAGAAGGGGAGAUUCUCCUACCACGGCAACUGGAGAAAGAAAGGUUCUUUUGUCUCAGUAAAUGUAAGGAGGAAUGGAUUCUUCUACCUCAGUAACUGUGGAUAAAAAGAGAUUCUCCUACCUCAGUAAUUGUAGAGAAAAGCGAUUCUCCUUCCUCAGUAACUGGGGAAGAAAAGCUUUUCUUCCUUAGUAACUGUGGAAAAGGAGAGAGUCUCCCGCCUCAGUAUCUGUGGAGAAUAGAUUCUACUUUGUUAACUGUGGAGGACAGUGCUGCUACCUGAGUAACUGUGGAAGAGAGAUUCUCCUACCUCAGUAACUGUGGAGGAGAGAUUUUCCUACCACAGUAACUUUGGAGAAGGAGAAAUUCUCCUUCUUUAGUAACUGGAGAAAUAGAGCUCUUCUUCUCUCAGUAACAGUGGAGAAGAAUGUAUUCUACCUCAUUAAGCUUAGAGAAGGAGACAUUCCCCUUCCUCUCUGGUGAGAAUAAAUCUGGGCUCCUGGUCAGAGUAGUAUCAGUGUAGUCAUUGCCAAGGCUUCUUGUUUGUGUGCCUGUGAACUUGGGAAUGUGCUGAAAUGAGACAUGGUGGGCUGGAUUGAGAAAGAUGGGCCAGGGGGGCUUUGGCUCUUGUGAAGCUUCUCCACCAGUGAAAGGCACAGCUUGGCAUCUCCUUGUUCACAAAAUGGUGUGAGCAAGUUAGUCAACUUCUCUGCGGUUUCAGUUUUCUCAUUUGUAAAAUUGGGAUGACAAAAUGACUUGUGUGGUUAGCCUCCUGUGAGAAAUAAAUAAGAUAAUACCUGCGACGCACUCAGAACAAUGCAUGGCACAAAGCAAACGUGCAGUCGGCAUUCGCUGCAAACAAUUUCUUGUCCUGAAAAAAAUGUUGAUUAGACCAUGGUGAGCCAAGAGGUGAAGGCCAUUUUCCUUAAAAAGUCCCAUUGGAGGCCUGACCUUGGUUUCUGCAAACUGAGCAGCUGAAAAAGCAGAACUGAAGGUUUGUUCUGCCAUUGUUCUGUAACAAAGCUUAUUGCUGAGAAUGGAAGUUUAAGAGAACAACUUUGCCAAAAAGAAAUUUCAUCACUCCUUGAAAUGGCAACCCUAAUUCGGGGUUUUUAGGAAAUUCCCUCAGAGACCCAGUGCUCUAUUUUCCUCAGAUUACCCCCAUUUAGCUAUUUGUGCUGUACACCAUAUAAAUUGUCAUCGCUAAGUCCAAGAUAUCGUGACUCAUAGACUGCGUCUUUGUUUUCCUAAAGAAUGAAGAGUCCAAGAGGAAUAGAAAAGCAUUUUUUCAUCCACAAUGUUUUUUUUUUUUUUUUUUUCAUUUGAGAUCCCCCAUGUGGUGUUGGGUGCAGGUUAUGGAAACAAAGGUGUAGGUCAUUACCUCCAGGGUCUCAUAGGCUGGUGGGAAGGCAGGCCAGGGAACCUGCCUGUAGCAAUUGAUCCCUGGUAUAUUCACAGGCUUUGGGCCCAAUAGAAACGAAGGGUGGGAGCCCAGGGACUCAGAACCCGGAACAGGGGGGAGGCGAAUCCGGAGGGUGAGAGAAUGGAGGGCAGGGCUUCCAGGAGGGAACAGCCCAGGCCAGGCAAAUGGUGAGAGGCCUCUCACAUUUGGGAACUGUGAGAGAUUCCAUGUGGCUGAGAGGUGGCUUCGUGGGGAAGACGUGAGGGCGAGCGGAACAGUGUGGAGGCAGAUCACAGAGGGCUCUGUGUAACUUACGCAAGACCUGAGCACCAGGCGGAGCCGUCAAGGGAAAUUUAGGUUGAGCAGAGAUACAAUUGGGUUUGGAAUAUCUCUCUAUAGCAGCAGUAAAAUACCAUGCAGGUGACAAGACUGGGAGCCGGGAGAGGAGGCAGGAGGGUGUGGGUGGUUCAGACCAGGGAUGGACAGUGGGGCCGAGGGGAGGAGACAUUGGAGUGGCACCAUGUGGACAGGGGCAGGU